GAUGAACGCUGGCGGCGUGCCUAAUACAUGCAAGUCGAGCGAACAGACGAGGAGCUUGCUCCUCUGACGUUAGCGGCGGACGGGUGAGUAACACGUGGAUAACCUACCUAUAAGACUGGGAUAACUUCGGGAAACCGGAGCUAAUACCGGAUAAUAUAUUGAACCGCAUGGUUCAAUAGUGAAAGACGGUUUUGCUGUCACUUAUAGAUGGAUCCGCGCCGCAUUAGCUAGUUGGUAAGGUAACGGCUUACCAAGGCAACGAUGCGUAGCCGACCUGAGAGGGUGAUCGGCCACCCUGGAACUGAGACACGGUCCAGGCUCCUACGGGAGGCAGCAGUAGGGAAUCUUCCGCAAUGGGCGAAAGCUUGACGGAGCAACGCCGCGUGAGUGAUGAAGGUCUUCGGAUCGUAAAACUCUGUUAUUAGGGAAGAACAAAUGUGUAAGUAACUAUGCACGUCUUGACGGUACCUAAUCAGAAAGCCACGGCUAACUACGUG
rnacentral:rRNA from 1 species